UACGUAGGCAGCAAGCGUUGUUCGGAAUUACUGGGCGUAAAGAGUGUGUAGGCGGUGCUCCAAGUCUGGUGUGAAAUCUCCCGGCUCAACUGGGAGGGUGCGCUAGAAACUGGAAUGCUAGAGGAUGGGAGAGGUAAGCGGAAUUCCUGGUGUAGCGGUGAAAUGCGUAGAUAUCAGGAGGAACACCGGUGGCGAAGGCGGCGAUCUGGGUCGAUACUGACGCUGAGGUGCGAAAGCGUGGGGAGUAAACAGG
rnacentral:rRNA from 1 species